rnacentral:rRNA from 1 species
UACGGAGGAUCCAAGCGUUAUCCGGAAUCACUGGGUUUAAAGGGUGCGUAGGCGGUUAUGUAAGUCAGAGGUGAAAUGUCGUCGCUUAACGAUGAAAUUGCCUUUGAUACUGCUUAACUUGAAUCAGAAUGAGGUUGGCGGAAUGUGACAUGUAGCGGUGAAAUGCAUAGAUAUGACACAGAACACCGAUAGCGAAGGCAGCUCACUAGGCCUGGAUUGACGCUCAGGGACGAAAGCGUGGGUAGCGAACAGG